rnacentral:rRNA from 1 species
GUGGGGAAUAUUGGACAAUGGGGGGAACCCUGAUCCAGCCAUGCCGCGUGUGUGAAGAAGGCCUUUUGGUUGUAAAGCACUUUAAGCGAGGAGGAGGCUACUCUAGUUAAUACCUAGGGAUAGUGGACGUUACUCGCAGAAUAAGCACCGGCUAACUCUGUGCCAGCAGCCGCGGUAAUACAGAGGGUGCAAGCGUUAAUCGGAUUUACUGGGCGUAAAGCGCGCGUAGGUGGCCAAUUAAGUCAAAUGUGAAAUCCCCGAGCUUAACUUGGGAAUUGCAUUCGAUACUGGUUGGCUAGAGUAUGGGAGAGGAUGGUAGAAUUCCAGGUGUAGCGGUGAAAUGCGUAGAGAUCUGGAGGAAUACCGAUGGCGAAGGCAGCCAUCUGGCCUAAUACUGACACUGAGGUGCGAAAGCAUGGGGAGCAAACAGGCUUAGAAACCCUGGUAGUCC